rnacentral:rRNA from 1 species
UACGAAGGGGGCUAGCGUUGCUCGGAAUUACUGGGCGUAAAGGGCGCGUAGGCGGUUCUGUUAGUCAGGCGUGAAAUUCCUGGGCUCAACCUGGGGACUGCGCUUGAUACGGCGGAACUUGAGGGCAGGAGAGGCUCGCGGAAUUCCCAGUGUAGAGGUGAAAUUCGUAGAUAUUGGGAAGAACACCGGUGGCGAAGGCGGCGAGCUGGCCUGUUACUGACGCUGAGGCGCGACAGCGUGGGGAGCAAACAGG